rnacentral:rRNA from 1 species
GACGAACGCUGGCGGCGUGCUUAACACAUGCAAGUCGAGCGGAAAGGCCCCUUCGGGGGUACUCGAGCGGCGAACGGGUGAGUAACACGUGAGUAAUCUGCCCUUGGCUUCGGGAUAGCCACCGGAAACGGUGAUUAAUACCGGAUAUGACCAGCUACUGCAUGGUGGUUGGUGGAAAGUUUUUCGGCCAGGGAUGUGCUCGCGGCCUAUCAGCUUGAGGGUGAGGUAACGGCUCACCAUGGCUUCGACGGGUAGCCGGCCUGAGAGGGUGACCGGUCACACUGGGACUGAGACACGGCCCAGACUCCUACGGGAGGCAGCAGUGGGGAAUAUUGGACAAUGGGCGGAAGCCUGAUCCAGCAACGCCGCGUGAGGGAUGACGGCCUUCGGGUUGUAAACCUCUUUCAGUACCGACGAAGCGCAAGUGACGGUAGGUACAGAAGAAGCACCGGCCAACUACGUGCCAGCCGCCGCAGUAAAAC